rnacentral:rRNA from 1 species
UUGAAAGAGUGCGUAAUAGCUCACUGGUCGAGUGGUCCUGCGCGGACAAUGUAACGGGGCUCAAGCCUCGAGCCGAAGUUGCGGAUUCGUACGCAAGUACGAGUGGUAGGGGAGCGUCGAUCUCUGCUGAGAAGCGGCGGUGGAAACCGUCGUGGAGCGUGGUCGAGUGCGAAUGCUGGCAUGAGUAGCGAGAGAGGAGUGAGAAACUCCUCCGCCGUAAGCCCAAGGGUUCCUGGGGAAGGCUAAUCCACCCAGGGUGAGUCGGGAGCUAAG